rnacentral:rRNA from 1 species
UACGUAGGGUGCGAGCGUUGUCCGGAAUUAUUGGGCGUAAAGAGCUUGUAGGCGGUCUGUCGCGUCUGCUGUGAAAAUCCGGGGCUCAACCCCGGACUUGCAGUGGGUACGGGCAAACUAGAGUGUGGUAGGGGAGACUGGAAUUCCUGGUGUAGCGGUGAAAUGCGCAGAUAUCAGGAGGAACACCGAUGGCGAAGGCAGGUCUCUGGGCCACUACUGACGCUGAGAAGCGAAAGCAUGGGGAGCGAACAGG